rnacentral:rRNA from 1 species
GAGUUUGAUCAUGGCUCAGAUUGAACGCUGGCGGCAGGCCUAACACAUGCAAGUCGAACGGUAACAGGAAGCAGCUUGCUGCUUCGCUGACGAGUGGCGGACGGGUGAGUAAUGUCUGGGAAGCUGCCUGAUGGAGGGGGAUAACUACUGGAAACGGUAGCUAAUACCGCAUAAUGUCGCAAGACCAAAGAGGGGGACCUUCGGGCCUCUUGCCAUCGGAUGUGCCCAGAUGGGAUUAGCUUGUUGGUGGGGUAACGGCUCACCAAGGCGACGAUCCCUAGCUGGUCUGAGAGGAUGACCAGCCACACUGAACUGAGACACGGUCCAGACUCCUACGGGAGGCAGCAGUGGGGAAUAUUGCACAAUGGGCGCAAGCCUGAUGCAGCCAUGCCGCGUGUAUGAAGAAGGCCUUCGGGUUGUAAAGUACUUUCAGCGGGGAGGAAGGGAGUAAAGUUAAUACCUUUGCUCAUUGACGUUACCCGCAGAAGAAGCACCGGCUAACUCCGUGCCAGCAGCCGCGGUAAUACGGAGGGUGCAAGCGUUAAUCGGAAUUACUGGGCGUAAAGCGCACGCAGGCGGUUUGUUAAGUCAGAUGUGAAAUCCCCGGGCUCAACCUGGGAACUGCAUCUGAUACUGGCAAGCUUGAGUCUCGUAGAGGGGGGUAGAAUUCCAGGUGUAGCGGUGAAAUGCGUAGAGAUCUGGAGGAAUACCGGUGGCGAAGGCGGCCCCCUGGACGAAGACUGACGCUCAGGUGCGAAAGCGUGGGGAGCGAACAGGAUUAGAUACCCUGGUAGUCCACGCCGUAAACGAUGUCGACUUGGAGGUUGUGCCCUUGAGGCGUGGCUUCCGGAGCUAACGCGUUAAGUCGACCGCCUGGGGAGUACGGCCGCAAGGUUAAAACUCAAAUGAAUUGACGGGGGCCCGCACAAGCGGUGGAGCAUGUGGUUUAAUUCGAUGCAACGCGAAGAACCUUACCUGGUCUUGACAUCCACGGAAGUUUUCAGAGAUGAGAAUGUGCCUUCGGGAACCGUGAGACAGGUGCUGCAUGGCUGUCGUCAGCUCGUGUUGUGAAAUGUUGGGUUAAGUCCCGCAACGAGCGCAACCCUUAUCCUUUGUUGCCAGCGGUCCGGCCGGGAACUCAAAGGAGACUGCCAGUGAUAAACUGGAGGAAGGUGGGGAUGACGUCAAGUCAUCAUGGCCCUUACGACCAGGGCUACACACGUGCUACAAUGGCGCAUACAAAGAGAAGCGACCUCGCGAGAGCAAGCGGACCUCAUAAAGUGCGUCGUAGUCCGGAUUGGAGUCUGCAACUCGACUCCAUGAAGUCGGAAUCGCUAGUAAUCGUGGAUCAGAAUGCCACGGUGAAUACGUUCCCGGGCCUUGUACACACCGCCCGUCACACCAUGGGAGUGGGUUGCAAAAGAAGUAGGUAGCUUAACCUUCGGGAGGGCGCUUACCACUUUGUGAUUCAUGACUGGGGUGAAGUCGUAACAAGGUA